rnacentral:tRNA from 1 species
AUAUAUAUAUAAAAUCCGUCGACUUUAGAAAUCGUGAGGGUUCAAGUCCCUCUAUCCCCA